GCAUGUACUAACUUUUAUUUAUUGACUGAUUACACGGUUGCAUAUAAGACACAUAGUGAAGAAAAAAAGAGACUGAAACAGACGAAGGAAAUAGUAAAAACUUGUCUUCCAUAUCAGUAUCUUUCAGGUUAUGUAGGUGUUAUUGAUAAGAAUUCUAGAUGUUGGAGAAGAAAGAUCAUUCAAGGGAGAAGCUCAAAUACCAAAUAUAAUUGCGAACUUUGCGGACAAAACCAAGGUAACUAACUGUGGAGGCAUUCGAUGGCUUUUAAGGAGAUUAGGAAGCAAUAUAAGAGAUGUGAAAACAUAUAUAGCUCGGAGA